rnacentral:rRNA from 1 species
UGCAGUCGGACGGUAACAGGGGAGCUUGCUCCCGCUGACGAGUGGCGGACGGGUGAGUAAUGCAUGGGAAUCUGCCCUUUAGUUGGGGAUACCGUAGGGAAACUUACGUUAAUACCGAAUAUGAUCUACGGAUUAAAGGUGCCCUCUUCUUGAAAGGUAUCGCUAAAGGAUGAGCCCAUGUUAGAUUAGCUAGUUGGUGAGGUAAUGGCUCACCAAGGCAUCGAUCUAUAGCUGGUUUGAGAGGAUGAUCAGCCACACUGGGACUGAGACACGGCCCAGACUCCUACGGGAGGCAGCAGUGGGGAAUAUUGCACAAUGGAGGAAACUCUGAUGCAGCCAUGCCGCGUGUGUGAAGAAGGCCCGAGGGUUGUAAAGCACUUUUAGUGAGGAGGAAAGGUUAGUAGUUAAUACCUGCUAGCUGUGACGUUACUCACAGAAAAAGCACCGGCUAACUCUGUGCCAGCAGCCGCGGUAAUACAGAGGGUGCAAGCGUUAUUCGGAAUUACUGGGCGUAAAGCGCGCGUAGGCGGAUUGUUAAGUCAGUUGUGAAAGCCCUGGGCUCAACCUAGGAACGGCGAUUGAAACUGGCAGUCUAGAGUUUAGUAGAGGGAAGGGGAAUUUCUGGAGUAGCAGUGAAAUGCGUAGAUAUCAGAAGGAACAUCAGUGGCGAAGGCGCCUUCCUGGACUAAAACUGACGCUGAGGUGCGAAAGCGUGGGGAG